GGGAUGGGAAGAUUGCAGAAAAUGACCCACAGGUGGAUUUUUAGUACAGGUCCUCUUUCUAGUCCUACUGGAAUGAAGGGAUUCGUAAUGGAUCUUGGAAAAUUAAAACAGAAAGAAUAAGAAAGAAGGUGAUCUUGACCAAAAUAAUAUAACCAUCUUGGUUAUGACAACUAGCUCCUUAUAGAACACCAACGAACUUACAGAGUGAGGUCUUUGGUCUACAUGUCCUGCCUCAUUUGUAGCUCAUCUGCUACCCAGCACACCACCUGAUUCAGGGUGGGCCUGGACAAAUACGCACCAAAUAGAAUUAAAUGUUAUCAUGACUCCAGGGGCUCUGGGUAUUGACUGUUUAAUUCCCUUCUCUGUGAAUUACUGAGUAGUAUUUUACUGUUCUAGACUAUGCCUUCAGUUGGCUUUGCUCUUAUUUAUGCCCUUCUCUAGCAGCACUGCAGAGUAGCUCCCAACAGAAGAGAAUCAAAACAUUUAUGUAAAUUCGUAUAAUGGCAGGCAAAGACAGCAGAAUAGGGAUUCAUGUAUGAAAAAUUGGCAGACUUAUGAGAAAUAAAAGUGAUAUAUUAGACAUGCUCUGUGGAGAAGAAAGUCCAGUAGGAAAUGUAUUUUUUUAUUAUGAAUUGAAAUAAAGUGUCUGAUCUUAAAUUUUAAAAUAUAGCUAGUAAAUAUACUGUAAGGUUCUUCUUAUUUAAGAACUUAUUGUUCUGGCCAAAGAAAAAAAGAACUAUAUUAGAUAAAAGAUCUGUGAAUAGCUUGUGCAUCUAGGAAUAAUAGCUUUGGAAGCAAUGUCCUGAUAAUUAUAUCUGUGUCUGGGUAGGUGAAGAUGUUUCAAGAAGUUUGAAUUUAUCUUGACAGGAUUAUGCUGAGAUAAAGGAUGAUUUUUCAGAGGUUGGCAGUAAGUCUCUGAAGUAGCUCUGGUCAGACCUGACUGCACCAGAAAACUAUGUUUCUGAAAAACGCCCAGGAACCCGAGGCAUUGAGUCUGUAGAUACAGCGGCUGGCUGUCUCACUGUGGGGACUCUUGGAGCGGGAUAUAGGAAAUGAAGUGACAAGACUGUCAGCUUUGCCGUUACUCCUGGAGCCUUGUGAAGAAGUGUCUCUACCAUGAAAAUACGGUCCCUGUGUGGUGGGGUUAUCUUCAGGCCUCUUUUCCCAUUUAUAGUUUGCUGGGAAGUCAAAAGGAAAAGGAGGAAGGAGAUUCUCAAAAUCAGAGAGGAGGAGCAAGGAAAGGUCACUCUGCCUUAAAUUUGCCAGUUUUCCUGAAAAUAAUUUUUCUUUGUAUACAUAUUGCAGUUGCUUCCUCCUUCAUCUCAGGUAAACCUAUUGACCAUUGUGCCUUCUUGUGUGAUUUACAAUAACAUAAUAUUUAUGUAUACACAGAGAGCUUUUGCAAUAGAAGGUGUGCCUUGAGAACUGCAGAGUGCGUCUUCCCUGAACCUAACACCGGACCAGAGUUAAGAGUUGCUCAAUAAAUGCAUGUUGAAUUAAUUUCACUUUUUCUUUUUCUAGAGGAUCUCUAUUGCUCAGGCUGGAGUGGUGGGGUACAACCAUGGCUCACCGUGGCCUCGACUCCCAGGCUCAAGCGAUCCUCCCUCUUCAGCCUCCCAAGUAGCUGGGACCACAGGCAUGCCAACAUGCCUGGCUAAUUUUUUAAUUUUUUGUUGAGACAAAGUCUUGCUAUGUUGCCCGGGCUGGUCUUGAACUCCUGGGCUCAAGCAUUUCUCCUGCCUCGGCGUUUCAAAGUGUGAGAUGAUAGGUGUAAGUCACUAUGCUCGGCCGGAUUUGAUUUUAGACCCUGGGGAACCCAUCUUUGGACUGUUUCUCAAAGAGAGGGCAGAUAUUAUUCAGCAGAAUCCUCAUUGAGCAUUGGUCUUACUGUGAGAAUUACUGUGUUUGUGUACACCAAAGCUUGACUAUGUAAACCUGAACUAAGUGUAAGAGCCCUUCUGGUAGGAAAAAAAAAAAAUGACACUGUAUUAGAAAGACAAAAUCAGACAGCCUAACCAAACUAUGUUUUUGUCAAUAAAUGUUCAAAUUCCAUGGUCUAUUUUUAUUUUCUUACAUAGCUUUAUUUAAAAUCCUAGAUUGACUUGUUUUUUGUUGAUACUGUUCCUUUGUUAAAAUCUUGGAAAACCAUUUGUUGAGUUUUAUGACUUAGGAGCUAAAACUGAUGGGUCUCAUGACCAGUUUAUUGGUUCUUUUGGCCACCUUUAGGUCAAUUAUGUAAUGUUUUCUUCUUACUUUUGUGUGGGGGGAAAGCAAGCCACCUUUGCUUUCAUGAUUUUGUUUUUCAACGU
rnacentral:lncRNA from 1 species